ensembl:lncRNA
UCAAUAAUCCCUUUAUAAUAAUUAUAAUGAACAGUCACUUUGCAAGGCAAAUAUUGAAGUAGGGGAGAGCCGGGUCGAUUGAAACACGGGACGAUUGAAACACAGCGAUUUACUCGAAAACCACGCAAGGCUUUCACGUCAAAAUUCGUCACUACGUUCAGCAAGCAAGACUGACCAACCCCGGGAAAUUUCAUGUAAUGACGUCACGCCGUUCAGAUGUUAUCCCGCGAACCUGUUUUCGAGAGCUGUCAGAAAAUUUGCCUUUGAGCUGGCAGUCCACUUCAGCUGCCCAUUCCCUGCAUCCUGGUCGAGGAAGAGCAUGGCGGGGAAGGACUGGUUCACCUCCUUCAUGGAGCGCAGUGGCAGCCUCUCCCUUCGGCGUCCAGAGGCCACUAGCCAACAGCGAUUGUCCAGCUUCAACCAAACAAAUGUAAACUUGUUCCACCAAAAUUUAAAGACGGUGCUGGAACGGCACCAGUUCCAGGCCAAGGACAUUUGGAACAUUGAUGAAACCGGGGUCACCACUGUCCAGGUGCCAGACCGUGUCGUCGCCCAGAUGGGGCAGAAGCAGGUCGGGUCAGUGACCUCAGCGGAGAGGGGGACCCUGGUCACAGUUGCCUUGGCAGGCAAUGCGCAGGGCGACCUUGUUCCGCCAUUCUUCAUCUUCCCCCGUAAGCGGUUCAAAGACCACUUCCUGAGGGGUGGACCCGUUGGCUGUGCAGGCAGCGGCAACCCAACUGGCUGGAUGAAGGAGCCAGACUUCCUCCUGUACCUGGCCCACUUCACCAGGCACACCCGUGUGUCCAAGGAGUCGAAGCUGCUCCUCCUGCUGGACAAUCACCCGUCCCACCUGUCAAUUGCAGCAAUUGAUUACUGCAGAGCUAAUGGCAUAGUGCUGCUGUCAUUCCCUCCCCACUGCACCCACAGGUUGCAGCCAAUGGACAUUAGUGUCUUCGGCCCCCUAAAGGGGUACGUAAACAGUGCGGCGGACAGGUGGAUGAGGAGCCACCCAGGGAUCAACAUCUCCAUUUAUGAUGUGCCCUCCAUCGUUGCUGAAGCCUUACCAAAGGCUGCGACAGUGAACAACAUUACCUCCGGGUUCUCAAGUCCAGGGAUCUGGCCUUUUAACCCCUCUGCGUUUGAGGAAAAGGACUUCGCCGGAGCCUAUUCCACAGACCGUCCUCCUCCCCAGGCUUCGGGUGACGAGGUCAGCGCUUCUCCAGGUGCCACUUCAGGCAUGGAUGUACCUGAUCGAGCUGCCGGGCCUGACGAAGCUGUCCGGCCUGAGGGAGAGGCCGUUGAGUUCAGCCCGGACAUCGUCCGGCCUUACCCUAAGGCCGGACCUAGAAAGAUCACAAAGAGAAGAGGGAGAAAGAGGACAACUGCUAUACUUACGGACACCCCGGUGAGGGCUGCUUUAGAGGCGGAAAAGCAGGGAACUGGGAAGCAGCGUCGUCCCGCUAAGCAGCCUCCCUCCUCUCGGGCUCCCAAGAAGAGGCUGUUCUCGCCCGCUCCUGAUGCCGGAGUUGCCACCUCAGCUGCUCCUCCCACCAUCACCUGGCCCGCUGAUGGAGUCAGCCCCACCUUAGGCCUAGUUUGUCCUGUUCCGGAGGCAGCAGAGUUCACCACCAUUGCUGCCUCCACUUCUCCAAUUUAUUUAGGCCUAUCCAGCGAGGACGUCAGCUGCCUCGUGUGCUCCGAGCUCUUCAGCGCCUCGAUGCCUGGGGAAGAGUGGGUCCAGUGUGUCUUUUGUUAUAAGUGGUCGCAUGAGGCUUGCACCGACGGGAGUGCACACUACCUGUGUCACCUGUGUGACAAAGAAUAAAAAUAUUCAGCCUACUAUACUGUCCAUGUGUCUGCACUAGUUUGCAGUGGAAAUACUGUAAAUGUAGGCCUACAGCACAAUUCAGUUAACAUUCUAGACUGAUUAACUAACUAACUAUUAGGCCUGGGUUAGGCUAUGAGUGGGAGCUGGGCUAUUAAAUAUUUCGCUGGGUAGGCCUACUUUUCGUCCAUGAUUGUAACGCAUCCAAAAUAACAACGGCUACAUUAAAUUAUGACAAUAAUAAUUGAAUUUAGUGGACAUGCACACUUAAAAACUGCUGGGUAUAAGCUAUAGGCUAGCCUUCUACACCCUUGCUCUUGGUCAUGACACAUGGCAUGCCGAUUUAUCUUUUUCUCCAGCCAUUACCAUCAAUCAGCUAGAGUGCAAUCUUAAUCAAAGUUCUGCUUGUUAUAUGAUUUCAACAUAAUGUUCAUGUCAAUGUGCAGACUAUUACACAAUAUUUAUCAGAUAAAAUAAGUUUAGCCACUUACCUGUCCACAGAGACUCCGGAUGCUUCUGUGCGCCAGGCUGUGCGUGUCGAAAAGAAAUUAACCCUGUGCGGCGCUUGGAUAAAUUUCCGCUGUAACAGGUCUCGUGAUAUCCUGUUGACCUGGUCGUUUUUGUUUAAAAUAAAUAAAAGGAUGUUCAACUGGGUAUACUUAAACAUGACUUAGGACAGGGAAAUAAGUAAAUUUAAUGCAAAUGUAGUCGUCCAAAAGAAGAAAGGUGAGUUUUAAUCGAAAUGUGCAUCUUGAUAAUUACGCACGGGCCAAAAAUAUAUUUUGACCUAUUUAUAUGAUGCGGAAUUAUGUGAGAUUUUAGCAAUGACGAGUAAACUAGUAUGUUGUCUAGUAUGUUGCAUAAAAACAAGAGUAAGGGCAAUAGAUUCUUUUUAAAAUAUGCUGUUUCAAUCGUCCCGCAUGUGUGUUUCAAACGUCCCUACUAGGCGGGGCGUUUGAAACAAAUGUCAACUUACGUUCAAAGUUAAAAAGCAGCUCGAUCGUCCAACAUAUGUAUUAAAUUUCACUUGUAACUAAGAGAACACACCUGUGAGUUGUUGAUCACAUGUUAAAAUUAUUUGUAUACGUAACGUCAUCUUUGAAAAAGACGUUUAACUGAAAAGUGUUUCAAUCGACCCGGCUCUCCC